UACUUAUCCAGAAAGACUGAGGGAUUGGGCCCUUUGAAGUCUUAGCAACCCUUCCAAUGCAUUUGCCAAAGGAAAAGGUGCUAACUCCCAUCCGGACAAAUAGUCUGGUAAAGAUAAGAA
rnacentral:ncRNA from 1 species